GCCGGUGUAACUCAGCUGGUAGAGUAGAUCAUUCGUAAUGAUCAAGUCGCUGGUUCAAAUCCAGUCACCGGCU
rnacentral:tRNA from 1 species